UACGUAGGGGGCAAGCGUUGUCCGGAUUUAUUGGGCGUAAAGAGCGUGUAGGCGGCCAGACAGGUCCGCUGUGAAAACUCGAGGCUCAACCUCGAGACGCCGGUGGAAACCGUCUGGCUAGAGUCCGGAAGAGGAGAGUGGAAUUCCUGGUGUAGCGGUGAAAUGCGCAGAUAUCAGGAAGAACACCCGUGGCUAAGGCGGCUCUCUAGUACGGUACUGACGCUGAGACGCGAAAGCGUGGGGAGCGAACAGG
rnacentral:rRNA from 1 species